rnacentral:rRNA from 1 species
UAAUACAGAGGGUGCGAGCGUUAAUCGGAAUUACUGGGCGUAAAGGGUGCGUAGGUGGUUGCUUAAGUUAUAUGUGAAACCCCCGGGCUUAACCUGGGAAUGGCGUAUAAAACUGAAUAACUAGAGUUUGGGAGAGGGAAGUGGAAUUUCCAGUGUAGCGGUGAAAUGCGUAGAUAUUGGAAGGAACACCAGUGGCGAAGGCGACUUCCUGGCCCGAUACUGACACUGAGGCACGAAAGCGUGGGUAGCGAACAGGAUUAGAUACCCUGGUAGUCCACGCCGUAAACGAUGAGAACUAGAUGUUAGGUGGCUUGACCACUUAGUAUCGAAGCAAACGCGAUAAGUUCUCCGCCUGGGGAGUACGGCCGCAAGGUUA